UACAGAGGAGCCAAGCGUUGUCCGGAUUGACUGGGCGUAAAGCGCACGCAGGCGGUCUGGCGCGUGGGGUGUGAAAUCUGGCCGCUUAACGGCCAGGCGCCAUCCCAUACGGCCGGACUGGAGCCUUGCAGAGGUCGGUGGAAUUGCCGGUGUAGUGGUGAAAUGCGUAGAGAUCCGGAGGAACCCCAGAGGCGAAGGCGGCGCCCUGGCUCGCACCUGACGCUCAGACACGACAGCAUGGGGAGCGAACGGG
rnacentral:rRNA from 1 species